UGCCCGUGGCAUAUGGAGGUUCCCAGGCUAGGGCUCCAGUCGGAGCUGUAGCUGCCAGCCUUUGCCACAGCCACAGCAACAUCAGAUCCGAGCCUGUCUGUGACCUACACCACAGCUCAGGGCAACGCCGGAUCCUUAACCUGCUGAGCGAGGCCAGGGAUCGAACCCACAACCUCAUGGUUCCCAAGUCAGAUUCAUUUCCGCUGCGCCACAACGGGAAUUCCAAUUUGCAUUACAUUUUGAAUUUGAUUCGUGAGUUAUGUAGUAGCUUUCAAAAACUUUCCAGACACAUAUAGCAAUUUUUACUUAUCUUUUUCUUGAAUUGUAAUUUAGUUAAUUGAAUUGUGGUCGGAGAGCAGCUGGUACUAUAACAGUUCUCUGAUCGACAUUGAGUCUUGCAUUAUAGCUGCUACAUCCUGAAUUUGUCUAAACUUUUCACGUGAACUUGAAAAGAGUCUUUUCUAAUUAUUGGGUGAAGCGUUCCACAUACAUCCAACAAACCAAGACUGUUACUUGUUGAAAUGUUUCCAGUCUUUACUAAUGCUUCUGUUAGCCUGCACUCUCAUCUAGCUCGCGCUCAUUGCUAGAGAUCUAUAAAUCAACUAUAAUAAAAAUUAAAUUAAAAAAAUCUUCCAUGACGGUAAACUUGCCAAUUUCUCCCUGUCGUUGUGCCAAGAUUUUGUUUAUACAUUUAAGUCUUUUCCAUUAGGUCUGUUGUGUUUAAAACUAUUACUUCUUAGUUUAAUGACUAACUAAGACUGAACCUUUUAUCGUUUUAUAAAGUAGCUGCUUAAUAGAUAAUUCACGAAUGGCCUCAUUACAGGGGUAGUGCAGCUCUGCUCCUCCCGGUCGUUGGUGGCCAAGGGUGCAGGGGUCAGGGCUGGCGAUCUCGCAGGUGGCUCCCUGUCUUCACCCAUUACUUGGGAAUAUUUAAAAGUCUGAACGUCACUUUGAAUCGUAAGCAGCACCAACAUUUUCCGGGCUUCAGAACGUCCUGAAUCCACUCUGAGGACAUCUGGCGUGACAGUUCGCUGAGGCACCUCCGUCCCACACCUUCAUCUGGCUGAUACCAAAUUACAAGGAGGAGCUCCUCCAGAGCUGCCACCUGACCUGCCACCCAGCCCCCUCCCAGAGCCACUCAAGAUCCUCAGGGCAGACGCCCGCAGGGCUCACCGCUCUGCCUCGAGGCCCCCCGGCCGCUUCUCGAGAAGACCAUGCCCGCUGAACCGCAGCGGGAACUCCCAGAUGGUACAGUUCUUGAGAAGAAAACUUUGCUUCUCCAUCAGGCUGGAGUUAAAACAGUAACUUUUAUUAUUGUUUUGAGAACUUGACUAGUAUCCGUGAGGACGCAGGCUCAAACCCUGGCCUCGUUCAGUUGGUCAAGGAUCUGGCAUGACCAUGAGCUGCAACGUAGGACAUGGCUCUGAUCCCGUGGUGUAGGUCAGCAGCUACAGCUCCGAUUCGAUCCCUAGCCUAGGAACCUCCACAUGCCGUGGGUAUGGCCCUAAACAGAAAAAAAAUUGUAUUUUCUGAUGGGACUGAAAUGAGCCUGCUAAGUGGGCACGAAAGAGCCUCUCGCUCUCUCAAAUGCCAUAGGGAGACUCUGGAUUAGCCUCUGGGUAGUCUAUACUGCAUGUCAUGAAGGUGGAGCCUGGGCAGUCACAGAGGUUGCAGAGGUCAAGGAGUGGCUACUAGCCAUCAAUCCCCUCCCACGUGCUGGAUAUUUUCCAGACAGUAUGAGAUUCAGGGCUCCCAGGAACCUGACGUGGUGGGUACCACUAAACCCCCAUUUUGGAGAGGAGGCCACAGAGGCUAUGGGAUGCCGUGCCCAGACCACGCUGGUGGCAAGCGGUCGGGACACGUGUCCUGUGUCUGACAGGUGAGCAGCUGUCCGGGUUGCUCCCCAGGACCUGCCUCGUCACACACAGCUGAGUGUGUGCGUGUGUGGGCACAGCGACCAUCCCCAAGCUUGGCAAGCCCGCAGCCCGACAGACACCAUCGGCCGGUCAUGCUGCCCAGUGCCCAGGCGAGCCGAGCAGCACGCCAGCGCCUGGCACUGCCACCGCCGGGGGUCAGGGUACAGGGACUUACCUGCUGGGGACUCCGGCCCUGUCGUUGUCCGCUCUGUGCCGAGACACGCUGGCUCUGGGGGCUGGAAGGCGGUGGGGACGCUGGGGAGUUCGUGCUGAAAU
rnacentral:lncRNA from 1 species